GGGGGCGUAAUGGUAUCGACAGGAUUGUCGACUGAUUGGUAAGCAUGUCGGAGAAUGAUGGUUCACUCCGUAUAAAAUGAUCAUUAACCAUAAAUGGCGAAUCUAACUACGCCAUGGCUGCUUAAUUCUAGGAAUUAAAUAGUCAUUGUACGACGGUGCACGGCUCUUCGGAGUCUAGGUCUAUGCCUAACCGACCCGCACCCGUACAUCACCAAUGCUAGGCUGGAAUAAUUGAGUGGCCCGCUCAAUUGUUUGAGAUCAUGGGCUGGGUGCAAGACCGGUGCGUUGCUGGACCUAUCCUUGUACUAAGACCAAAACAAGUAACUAAACAUGUAGAAGCCCAAUGAGUGCUUUCUCUGGACGCGAGUUCGACUCUCGCCGCCUCCACCA
rnacentral:tmRNA from 1 species